rnacentral:lncRNA from 1 species
GAAAUUAGGUUGCUGAAUUUUGUGAAGCCCAAAUAUGUGGGUUGUAUGCUAUCGAUUCUAUUAUAAAUGUGGCCCAAAUUGAUGAUCCAAUAAGAUGAAGAAUCCAGUAUUAUGGUAAAAACGUUUUUGUUAAACAUGCCUUUUAAUUGAAAAUGCAUAAUUGCUGGAUUGUUGACAUGUGGUUGAUCUUGCACCGUUGGAUGAUAUAAUUGGCUCCUCUCAUAUAAAGUCGAGGCCAAUGACUUUAGGGUUUCAUUCUGAAAAUCGCUAGCAACUUCUCUCGUUUAGUUUUCUCUGUGUACUGCUUGUUGGUGAUACUCUCUAUCAAUACUUAGUGUUUUGAGUUUUCGUGAGGGAGUAAACAUCUGUAUUUCUCUUGUGUGAGCUGUUAUUGAUGUUUUGAUAGAAUUUUGUAAGCACGAGAGAUUUAAGAACUUGGUGUUCUUGUAAUUGAAAAUUUUCCUGUUUUGGGGCAGUGCUAUUGGAUUCGAACUUAAUCCUAACGGAUGCUCAAUGGGGGACUAAACUUUGGAAACCAGUUGCUAAACCUCUGGGGCCUUUGGCCGAAAUUCCUAGUGUUCUUUUACUUUUUUGUUAUUUUCUUUUAUGAUUUUUUUUUCUUUAAAUAUUGAGUCACAAAGCUUGAGCGAAUCUUGGAACAAUAGUGUUAUCAGAGGUUAAAAUCCUUUUGAAUCUUGGUUUCUCAAAACUAUUUUUAAGAAAAAUUCGAUAUGCUUUGAGUUGGCUCCUCUAUUUUAAAGUAAACGACAGAUCUGAGGCGAUCUGUUAAUAAUCUAUCAAGGAACUUCUUGGAUCUGAACCUAGACUCGAUUCUUGGUACUUUUGAAUAUCUAUUUCAUAUCUGCAUUGCUGGUGAAGAAUUUUUCAUAACUUUUUUUUUUUUUUUUUUUAAAUUUUAAACGAAUCUGUUAAACGUUUUUGAAAACAAAGGAUUUUUGAAAAUCUCCCUAAAUUUACCUUUGUCCGAGGUCCUUGAGAGAACCCUAAAAUCUGAGAAAAUUAGGAUAUCGGCUUAAAGAAAUCCAGAAGCGUUUUUAUUGUUUCUUUAAAACUUAUAUUUCGCUACUUUGUGUGUGCUAUAAUAUCUCUUAUUUGGGUUUAAAUUCAUUUACAUGUUCUGGGCUAUAGCAUAUUGCUAACCUUUUGUUGAUACUAUAAUUGUAUUUUAUUUGUGGAAUAUGUCCUUUGUACACGUGAAUAAUUAAUAUCAUACAUUUUGAAUCUUCUCCUCUUAAUAUUUACUGAGUGUAAGCAUACUUGGCCAUACUACCUUUAUUGUACGGUCUUUGCCUAUAUUUGGAUUAUAUUCUCUAUCUUGUAAUUGGUUAUUUGAAAUUGAUCUGUUUGAUAUAUUCUUGUUUAUAUCUCACUUGAGUACAAUUGUUACGCUAUUGCAUAGCAUGACUACUAAAAUAGAUGUUUAGAUGUGGGAUGUGAAAGGAGACUUUAGUCUCUAGCGCUAGCAAAUGAAAAUAUGCUAAAGCCAUUGAUGAAUUUUGGCUCGAAAACCUAGCUGUUGAUAGGAAACUGAAUAAGGUGAAUUAGCAUGGAGUACUAUGUUUCUGCACCUAUUUGAUUCUGUACUUAGAAAAGUGGAAAAAACUAAAAUUGCUGUGGAAUUGUGGAUUGCUUUAGAAAAGCAGUACUUCAUUAAGACUCUACUAAAUAAAUGUUUUCUUUGGAGACAAUUUUUUGUUUAGUUUUAAGUUUGAUCCUAGUAUUGACUCGGAAGGAAAUGUGGACAGUUUUAAUAGGAUCACUCGAGAUCUUAUAAACUAUGGUUAAAAGAUCUUUGAUGAGCAAAAAGUGGUUGGUCUGCUCAAUGUACUAGGAGAGAAAUAUAAAGACAAAAAAUAUUUGAAAAUGUAGUAGAAGUGACUUGACUAUUGAUAUAAUUUGCAACUCGCUUUUUGAAUAGAGUAUUGAAAUUGAAAUUUGAACAUAAGGGGGUUUUUCAUGUUGAAAAUGUCUCAUCUUAUCAAUAACCUCAAGUCAAGGGUGUGAGUAAUUUCGAUCAAUCCAAUUACAAUAAGGACAAGAGCCUUAUUAAGAAGAAACAGGGUAAUAACAAAGAAAAAGAUGAGAAAACUUAUAAAGGAAAGAUAAAGAUCAAAAGGUGCUAUUAUUAUGGAAAAACAGGUCAUAUCAUUAAAGACAGUUUUAAAAUGGCCUGAGGUCAAAAUAAUGGGCUUAAUAUUGAGAAUGGCUCUUUAGCUAUUGUUGUCUCUCAUAAAUAAGUGGAAGCUAAUAUUGGGAUGGCCUGUGUAUCUUCAACUAAAAGGUCUGAUCACAACUGAGCUUUGGAUUCAGGUUGCUCCUUUCACAUGAGCCCCAAUGUUAACUGGUUCUCUAAUUUCUCCAAUCUUGAUGGAGGUUUUGUAAAACUCGGAAACAAUGAGUCAUUUCAAAAUAAGGGCAUUGACUAUAUUGUUUCGAAACUGGAAAAUUGAUCAAUACAUAAUGUUAAAACAUAUUAGAUAUGUGCCAUCACUAAGAAUAAAUCUCAUAUAUUUAGGGCUUCUAGAUGAUGAAAAUAUCGGAUUGAGAUCAAGAAUGGUUUCACAAACAUAAUAAGAGGCCAAAACCUUAUUGUCAAUUCACCUAAAACAAAUGGAAUCUAUGUUACAGAUAUUGAGCCUAUUUCACCCAACAAUGUGUGAACUUG